AUGUUAGAUCAAAACUUGAGUGUUCUUAGCUGGAAUGUCCGAGGCUUAAAUUGUCCUGAUCGUCGCGCUGCCAUCUACGAGACCGUCAAUGCCACUCCCUGUCAUAUCAUUUGUUUUCAAGAAACCAAGCUCGAGCAGGUCGGCCCUUUCACUGCUUCCCACCUGGGAGGGCACAGAUUGAAGAACUUUGCUCAACGUCCGGCAUUGGGCACCCGCGGCGGCAUUCUGCUUCUCUGGGAUGAGAACUUUGUCUCCGUCCAGAAUGUGUCCUUCCGUGCAUUUUUCCUCUCUGCCAAAGUCACCAUUGCUUCAUCAGGCACUUCAUUCAAGCUAACAUCUGUCUACGGCCCGAAUCGAAGCAACCUCAAAGACGCCUUCUUCCAGGAGCUGGCCCAGGAGAAGCCCCCCACUGGAGACAAAUGGUCGGUCACCGGUGACUUUAACCAAAUAUAUAGAGCUAGAGACAAAAACCGUGCAAAUGUUGAUCGGAGUCGAAUUGUUCGUUUCCGCAACGCCCUCAAUGCAUGUGAGCUUAAAGAGAUACACCUGCAAAACCGGAAAUUUACUUGGAGCAACGAGCGAAAUGAUCCAACAAUGAGCAAGCUCGACUCUUUCUUCUGCAAUGAGGAAUGGGACAUCGAAUUUGGCACACAUCUUCUGCAUGCUCUUUCAUCUUCGCUCUCUGACCAUUGCCCUCUUCUCCUUGCCAAUGAUAAAGGGCCGCCGAGAAACAAGUGCUUCCGCUUUGAAAACUUUUGGACUAAAAUGCAUGGGUUCCAAGAUAUUGUCCAAGGAGCUUGGGGUAGACAGGUGAACCACGUGGAUGUUGGAAAUAUGCCCUAG
rnacentral:rRNA from 1 species